UUGUUAUAUUAUUAUUUUUAUUGUUAUUUGAUCAUUAUUUUUAUUAUUUGAUUACUAUUAUUAUUACUUCAUUACUAUUAUAUAUAUUUUUACUAUUAUUAUUUAUUUAUUUUUGCUUACUAUUAUUAUUAUUAUUAUUUAUUAUUAUUUAUUAUUAUUAUUAUCAUUUGUCAUUAUCAUAUUUAUUAUCAUUUAUCAAUAUUAG
rnacentral:lncRNA from 1 species